GGCUGGUUAGCUCAGUUGGUUAGAGCAUGGUGCGGAUAACACCAAGGUCCAAGGUUCGAAACCUUCACUGGCCA